rnacentral:lncRNA from 10 species
GCUUUUCUCCCCUAUUCCGAUGGAAUGUGUCCCCGGAAGCUGAUACUUCGCCAUUUUUUUUUUUUUUUUUUUUUUUUUUUUGUCUCUUAACAGGCGGGCUGAGGAAGUUGCCUCUCUCUGGCGCCUGCAUUCAAUGAACGUUUGUAAUGUUAGCAGGUGUGGACCUUGAGGAGAUUUUCUCUCCCUGGCUGCCCAAUUAUCAUUUUUAGAGAGGCAAUGCGAUAAUUGCUGAACGAUGUCACCUGACAUUCCUAGCGGGUGGGAGAGAGCCCUCUCCUGCCCCGCUCAUUGCCUAACUACCUGUAACAGGUGUGUGGGUGAGUGCUCCCUGUGAUGGAACGGUGUCCUGUUCAGGACUGGGUGCCACCUGGCACCUUGAGCUGCCAGGACCGGCUCGGGCUGCUCGCGAUCCCAAACUAGAACAAAUGGGUAAAUAUCUUGCUUGAUUUUUAAAAUCUUUCUUUAAUAUACGAAUAGCUCAUAUUUGUUCCAGUGUUUAAUACCAGAAGUGUUUCGGGUCUUUAUUUAGAAGUUUGGUGAUGUUUUUGCAACCAGAAAUAUGCUGUAGGAACUUAACUCUUGUUGAUAUCAACUAGCCUAUGGGCAAAUAGUUUCGUGGCCACCCUCCUGUUGCCGCUUCACAUGGUCUUUCCUCUGUGCGUGCGCAGCUCUGGUGUCCCUCUCCAUGUCCUAAUCUCUUCUCAAAAGGACACCAGUCAUACCUCACUUUACCUUCGUCACCUCACCUUAUCUCCAAGUACAGUCACAUUCUCAGGUCCUGGGAAUGAGGAUUUCAGCAUGUAAAUUUUGCGGAGACGCAUAUUACUAUGUGCUUGGGGAAUUCUCCUUGACAGGAAAUGUUCAGUUGUCUAGCUCACAGGGAUAUCCACAAGCCAGACCCAGAAAGCCUUUGCUACCAUUGAUGAAGAUGCCAAGUCCACAGCCCAACAGCCAGAAGACCCUUGGUCUAGUAAGUGUCACCCUGUAAUUCUGUGAUCUGAGAGCUCCCAGGAGAUGAGACUGGUGAAGAAGCAAGGCUUCUUUGGGUCCCUAGUGUAAUCUUGGCUGAGGGAGAAGGGUCCUAUAAUUUCUGGAAUAAAUUUAAAGGAAGCUGUGAAAUUUCCUGCCAGAAAAGUUGCUCUGUCAGCUUCCAUUCUCGUAAUAUCAUUGGCUGCUCGAUUAGAGCUUAAACGCUUAUGUAGUCCUUCAAUUUUGUCAGUUUUCCCUAAAUACUUCUUAGCUUAUGUCACAUAUCUACAUGUGAUGGGAAUAUACAGUUCGUCACCUACUACUUCAGUUUCCUGCAUAAUCUGCAUCCACACCGAAUAACCAUGAGCAGAACUCACUAAAUGGAUACAGACGACUUCUGGAAGGAUUUUUCAAGGCACCAGGUGAAAUUACUUAAAAGCCAACUGAUUCUGCAGACAAGCGUGUCAGCUCCUCUGACACCCCUGGGGAUUCACACCCUGGGGAAAUUUGUAAAUGUGAAACAGAAGCCCAACAAUUGUACUGUGCAGUGACAAAAACGUCUCUCUCCCCCAAAAACCUGAGUAGGUGAAGGAAGUUUACUUUGCAUCCUCUGAUACAAGCAUACAUCAAGUUGUCUUGCCAAGUAAAGAAUGAGAACAAAAUGUACUACUUAGUUUCAUUAUCUUUUUUUGCCUUUGAUCAUAGGAUUCCAUGCACUGGAUUUUUACGGAUGAAGAAUAGGAAUGUGUUGAGAAGGGAUGGGAUGGUGAUAAAAUUAGAAACUGAAUGGUGGUUGUAUUGGUUCCUGAACCUUGUUAUUCCUCCUACCCCUAAGUUCCAUUUAAGAAGGGGUCCCAGGAGGUGGGUGACUCUGGCUGUUGGAAAACAUAAUUAGGCUUGACUUCUUACCUCUCACCACUAAUUCUUACCUCUCACCCUAAUUCUGAAGAAUUAGGUAACAAAACAAGCUCUGCACUGAGAGUCAAUAGGCAAGCUGAACUGUUCAAGUUGAAGACCCAACAGACAAAUCCCAAAAGAGAUUGCUUUACCUUUCAUCAGCAGGAUGGGAAAGAUUUAUUGCAGCCCUUGGAUUCAGACUGAAUUGAUAUCGCCAGGUUUCCUGUCUUUUCAGCUUGCAGGCAGCUGAUUGUGGGACUUCUCAGCCUCCUUAAUCAUGUGAGCAAAUUUCACUAAAUAAUGUAAAGAUUGCUUUAGUCAGCUAGCUAGGCUCUUAAAUUCUUGAAAGUAAAAGUGAUGGCAGGAGUUGACACUGAAGUACUAUAACCUGUGACAUGGGAGAAGGACUUUUUCUCUUUCUUCUAUAUAAUCUUCACCCAGAAUUCUAUAAACUGUGACAUGGGAGAAGGACUUUCUCUUUUUUCUAUAUAAUCUUAGUCCAGAAUUACUUUUGGAACCGGCUAGAAGAAUUUCAAGCACUAUCUUUUAUUGUGAGAAAUACAAUAAUAUUAAUUUAAAAAUCAUAUACUUUGUAUGCUAGAUUGUUGCCUAAAGAUAUCCCAAGACCCCAAAAGGACAUAGUUACUGAAA